AUUGAACGCUGGCGGAAUGCUUUACACAUGCAAGUCGGGCGGCAGCGCGGGGGCAACUCUGGCGGCGAGCGGCGAACGGGUGAGUAACACAUCGGAACGUACCCUGUCGUGGGGGAUAACGAAUCGAAAGAUUCGCUAAUACCGCAUACGACCUGAGGGUGAAAGCGGGGGAUCGCAAGACCUCGCGCGAGAGGAGCGGCCGAUGGCGGAUUAGCUAGUUGGUGGGGUAAAGGCCCACCAAGGCGACGAUCCGUAGCGGGUCUGAGAGGAUGAUCCGCCAC
rnacentral:rRNA from 1 species